GAUGAACGCUAGCGGCAGGCCUAAUACAUGCAAGUCGAGGGGUAUGGGUUGCUUGCAACCCAGAGACCGGCGCACGGGUGCGUAACGCGUAUGCAAUCUACCUUAAUCAGGGGGAUAGCCCGGAGAAAUCCGGAUUAACACCGCAUAACAUUGAGUUGUGGCAUCACAGUUCAAUCAAAUAUUUAUAGGAUUAAGAUGAGCAUGCGUGACAUUAGUUAGUUGGUGAGGUAACGGCUCACCAAGACCACGAUGUCUAGGGGAUCUGAGAGGAUGACCCCCCACACUGGUACUGAGACACGGACCAGACUCCUACGGGAGGCAGCAGUAAGGAAUAUUGAUCAAUGGGCGCAAGCCUGAACCAGCCAUGCCGCGUGCAGGAAGACGGCCCUAUGGGUUGUAAACUGCUUUUGUACCGGAAGAAACCUUCUCUUGCGAGAGAAGCUGAACGUACGGUAAGAAUAAGGAUCGGCUAACUCCGUG
rnacentral:rRNA from 1 species